UGACCUAUGGUGUAAUGGCAACACAGCAGAUUUUGAUUCUGUCGUUCAAAGUUCGAAUCUUUGUAGGUCAA
rnacentral:tRNA from 1 species